rnacentral:lncRNA from 13 species
AUAAGUCAAGUCAGCCCAAAUGCUCCGAAGGUGGCAAUGCGUAGGAGCAAGACUCCUGAGGUUAGACGUGCUGCUGCUCUGUUUUGAACAGCAUCCUUUUUCUGCCCCUUACUUAAGGACUCAAGUUCUUUCUUGAUAUAUCUAAUCUGUGUCUAUAUCAGAGGUUUUAAAAAUAGAUGCAUCAUCCUACUGCAGGUACAUAAAAAAAUUGGUUGGAUCACCAGGUAACAAAUGUAAUCUUGGUAACGCAUAAUCUAUAUAUAUUUACAGAAAUGUUUUAGGUUUGCUUUUAAAGGAUCUUCUGUGUAAAUGGAGACGUGUUCAUGAAACUCUAUGGAAUAUUGUGUGAAAACUGCUGGUAGUUUUUAACCAUAGGAAAAAAAAUUGCAGAAUAUGUGAGUUCAAAUAAUUUUUCAGUGAUUCUUACAUUGAGUCAUCCCUGUCUACACCGACUUUUCCUCUGAAAACAGUUCUAAUGUUGUUAUACCUGUUCACUGUUGGAAUGUAUUUCAUAUAUCCUGAACAAUUUAGGAUUGUAGGAUUUAAUAUUGUAUGUUUCUGCUCAAAGGUUUCAGAUGUGAAUCUUAAAUCACAAAUACAGCUAUAACUCAAAGCUUCUCAAUGCUUCUGAAACCGGAAAAAAUGUAAAACUUUAUGUUGAAUUAUUUUAAUGUGAUGUUCAGCUAUUGGUUGUUGUGUAUGCUUCUUUUCAUGCAGGCAAACUGUUGUGCAGAAAUAAAUAUUCUACAAACAGACUGAGCUGGAGAGCACAAACAUGGUGGUGGUGAAGAGAAAACACAGAAUCCUGUUUCAUGCCCAUUUGCUGCUUGAAUUUCCCUGUGCUGGCUCAAAACCCCACACAGCAGGAGCAGAAAGGACAAGUGGAAUAUUUUCAUGAAGUGUUCGCUCUUACAGCUCACUUGAGGUGGACCUUGUGGGUAGGUACAGAUUUAUUUACUAACCAUGUUACUUGUUGUCAUUCUUACUGCAGAGCAUCUUAAUGUAUAGGUCUACAUUGUGUCUCAGUGAGGCCCAACUCAGCAGAGAAAAAACAUCUAUAGCUCUACAAGUAAGGUGAUGGCAAUAGGAAUUGGGGGUUCAGUUUAUCUCACUACUGGACAUCACACAAGAAAGAAAAAUUAUGUAGAACACAGAAAAGAGGAGAAAAAAAAUCAUUCAAGACUUGAAGAUUAUUUCUCACAGCCAAGAAGGUAAUCUAUUUGCUUCCUCAAUAAGAAGACCAAGUUUUUCCUCAGAAAGAAGGACUAAUGAAGAUUUUAGUAAAGAUCUUUUCAAUCCAGAAGAGAAAAAGGGUCAUAAGAAUUAAUGACUGGAAGCUGAAACCAGGCAAAUGUAAUUGGGGAACAUAGCAGAAUGCAAGCAGUGAGAGUGAAUAACACUGAAACAAACUACUAAGAAAGAAGUGGAUUUUCCAUCACUUUAGUUUUUAUGAAGUGAUGCCUUAUGUAUUGUUCUUCAGAAAUGUAAUUGUUUCUAUAUAUAGUAAUUUUGCCUCAGAUGGAAUGCUUUGAUUUAGUUUUCCGUUGGAUCAUAUCCUUUAUUAUUUCUUUCUUUUUUUUUUUUUUUUGUUACUCAUUUGUAAUGAAAGUUGAGAAGAAUUGUACUUUAUAAAGGUAGAAAAUGAGAACAUCAGGCUAAAGUAGUUAUUUUGGUUAUGGAAGGAAGAAAAUUUGUAAGCGAUGCCGUAUAAAAGGAGUUACAUAUGCCUUAAAGUUUUCCUCCAGGGAAUGGGAUGGCUGGAAGUUAAAUUGGAACCAGCAGCCAUUGAAAUCUGCUUUGAGUCCAUGUGUUGAAGUGAAAUCACAUCACAAUUUUUCUCCCUGCUAACAAUUUCCCUUAACCUCUGUAAGAGAACAGUCACCUAAAUUGAGAAACCGAGAGUGAAUGGAAUAGAGAAAAUGUUCUUGAAAUUUAUUCAAGAGGAUUCUUCAAAUGUAGGAAUUGAUAUGACAAAGUAGUGGGCUUAGCCUAUGAUAGAAAACCCCACCUGAGUUUGAAAGGGUUUUUGUUAAAGAAUUUUUGCUUUAAAGAUGAUCAUCAAGUAGCAGCAAACUACAAGAGCAGAAAAUUGAUCAAAUUGGUUCUACCUAUAAUUCUCUCUUUUUGAAUGACACAUUGUAUGCAUAUAUUGUGAUACCUGAGAUCUAUAUUUUGUGAUAUUUUCAGUCUUUAUCACAGCAACAAGUCUAUGCCAGAAUAUCAUAGACCAUCCCUAGCUGUUCUCAGCUCUGCCUUCAAACAGAAAAAGUGAGACCUUGUUAGCUGACGCCAGAAACACUCACAGAUCUUCACCAAACUGUCUCUGUACCUCCUCAGAGCGGAUCAGUGUGUUUUCAUCAAGAUAUGUGCUAGUCCAAGACGCUACUUACACACAGUCUUCAGUUUAAGAGAAUGGAGAUAAUUCCCCAUGUAGAAACAAGCUACAGCGUAUGUAUUUUUCAUUCUUUUCUGCAGAUAUUUCUCCUGCAGGGUGUGCAGAACAGCAAAGCAGGAACAAACAGAGCCAUUAUGCCUAUUCACUGAAAUCUUUGCUCUUUGGUGUACUAUGUGUUUUUGGAUUUUAAUGCGCUGUGGCUGUGAAAACUGAUACAGCUUUCUCAGAUGUGAGAGCUCUUCACUCCAUUUAGGGAACAUUGGCCCCUGUAGCAUCCUAGGUCAUGUCUGCCAUAGUAAGGAAACUCCUCUUAAAGUGCAGCUCUCAAGAGCUGAAUUUUUGGAAAUCCUGUACCACCCACUAUAAAGUCUGAGGGCCCUCUCCAGUUGUUUAGCAGGACUAGGUGCCUCCUCAGAAUGAGCUGGGUCUUUCACAUGACCCAGGAAUACAAGCCACCUGCCACUUUUGCUGAGUCCAUCAGCACUUCCAUAGACUUCCUUUGGAGACAGAGAAGUUGACUUGUGUGGAAUAAGCUGAAUAUUUCACUCACACCAUUGAUCUGAAUUCACUGGGCAACUGAUGGGGCAGGUCUGCAGUUCUGGCUGGCCUAGGGACAUCAUGGUUGCUCAGUCUCAAUCUGCUGGUAUAACAUCCCUCUGGUUUAAGUUGUAUAAAGUAUAAGAAAGGUAUCCUGCUCAGGCAUUUCUUGUCUGGAUUUGGGAAACUCUUUGCUGAUUUGACACUGACCUUGUUCAACAGUCAUGCAUAGUGUUCUCUCCUAUAUUUUUGAAAUGUGUUUAAAAUACUGUGUUUUUAGAAAGCAACAGAUUUCAAAUGCUUAGUGACAAAACAAGACCUGUACUGAUAAAAUACUGAUGCAAGAACAGCUGUACUGAACUCAGAGUGAUGGCCAGAAGUGGGAAGGACACAUUGCAUCUAGCAAGUACUGAGGCCUAGUAUCCUGUCUCUAGCCAAGAGCAGGACCUUAGGGAAAAACCUGCAAGAACAUUGUAAACAGAAAGAAACACUUCCCUUUAUGCUCACUCCAAGAUGCCAGGUUUUUGGAUGAAAUGCUGCAACCCAGGUAGGCUCUACUUCCAUGGUUUAGUCUCUUUGCUCUUAACAUCCAUUUAUACUUUUAGCAUAAAAAUAACAUUUAUUUGGUAAUGAGCAUCUGCCAAACUGCAGAUUAAAAUUGCUUAUUUUAAAAAAUGUGUUACUUGCUAAUUCGAUUUC